AAUAAAUUGAUAUUCUUGGUAAAAUCUUCCUUACACCGAUUUCCCCCCCCCAAAUACACCGAUUUCGCGCAGUCAUUUAUACCGAUCUUGAGUUUACACUUUCGGCAACACUGCUUGCAAUAUUAUUUCAACCUAGAAGCUGAAACGAGACGUUGGCCGUUGAAGUUGUACAAGUACUGUAUGCACUGAUCCAGAAAUGCAGGAAGACUCUAUUGAAUUGAUCAUGCCCAAAAACCUAUACAUGAAGAUUCGAAUGAGCCUAUGGAAAUAGAGGAAUUCCAGAGAACUUGUCCAGUUGUAAAUAAUGAGGAGAUGCCUGUUAUUGAAAGUCGUGAAAAUCAUUGUAGAGGCAACUAAGAGUUUCCAAAUAUAACUUGUCUCAACGAGAAAUGAUUUUGUUUAAUCUUUCAAAAAAAUCCAAACGCAGAUAUAACAUGGUCUCCAAUAAAUUCAAGACUAGGAUGAACGAGGCAAAAAAAUUUAUGGAGAGUAAAUUAUUUGGAAAAUUGGCUACCUCUGUCAACCAGAUAUUAUAGACAAAUGCAGUCUACCUUCCGAAGUAGCAGACACUGCCGAAUUCAUUUUAUUUUUGGAUAAAUUAUUCGAUUCUCUCAAUGUAUCGAAGAUUAGAAAUACACAGGGUGAGUUUUUGAAGGAACCAAUAACGAUUAAAUCAGAACAUGAAAUCUUUCGGGAAAAAUCAGAAAAAAUUUUUGAAAAAAUGUAUUUUUACGACGACAAAAAGAAAAAUGUGGUGGUACCUACCAUAAAAAAAUUUAUUUUGACUUCAAAAGCUUUCGUUUACCAUAAGAGGAGAUUGUUAACUGAAAAAAAAUUUCAAGUAUAUCUUGACUGGUGCUUUCAAUCAAGAUUGCCUCGAAAUUUUUUUUCAGUUAUAUCCGAGGGCAUGGUGUAGGGAACACUAAUCCAAAUAUUGGCCAGUUUAUGUCCUCUUUCAAAUGCCUUACUUUGAAUAACUUUAUGUCCUCCCAUUCUGUAGGUUCCAACUGUGAAGAGGAUUUGACAUCACAUUGUUUGGAUAAUCUAAAAUCAUUUGUUUCAUCACAAUCUCCCUUACCUCAAAGUGUUGUGCUUGAAGAUUUAAAUAUGGUUAUUCCAAAAUUAAUAGUCCUUGAACAAAAAUCAAAAUUUAGUAGAUGUUCUCUAG